UACCAGAAGAUAGAUCUGCUAUCUAUUUAUCGGUUUUUGUGUGGGACCCAAACUUAAACAGGUAACUAGUUCUGGGGAAAAUGUUAUCUCUUUAAUUAAUGGGAUGCCUUCAACAAGGCAAAGAUUUUAUUUAUUUUCUCCACCACAGUGCACACACUGGAACGUUGCCUUUAUCAUAUCCAUUUCUGUAUUCGUACCAGCACCUCGCAAAAUAAUUUUCUAUAUAUUAUAGAAGUUCAAAGAAGACAGACUCUAGCCAAGAGCAGUGUGAAGAAAAGAAGGCUCUAUAUUGAUCGCAGUCCAGGGAUGCCUUCUGGCUUCCUGGCAGCAAUUCCAGCCUGAGAUUCCUUCUCUGUCAUACUUCCUGUCAAUGUUGUAUGAUAUCAAGCUGUAGCCAUCACAAAAGGACUGCGAACACCUGUAAAUCCCAACCAUCAAAAAUCACACCGAGGAAUCCAAAUUAGCAUUAUUACGUCAAAAGAAAAAUCUGAUUUCCCCACUGUCUUAUAACUGCUUUCUUUAUUGCCCUAAACUAGCCUUCCCUAACCUUUGAGUGAGAUAGUGACACUUCAGUUUCUUAUAUUCUAAAAUGUUUUCAAGGACAGCUGAUGGCAGAGGAGAGGGCAGUGAGGAUAGGCAGGGAGACAGAUAGCUGCACAAGGAAGGUAUAGGGUCGAGGUGGGAGUCAAGAUGAUGAAAGGAGAGAGGGAUGGUGACUGAUUUAGUCACCCAUUUGAGAGGAUCUCCAGACUUGGACUGCUGGCUAAGGACCCCUAUCCUAAGUGAGAAAGCAUCAUAUCAGGCAGGAGCUCUACCCUGGUGGUUAGAGGUGGACAUUCUGGAAUCAUCUAAGGAGGCUUCCCAAGCCUCACUGUUGGCUCUCCCUGACCCCUUCUAAAACUUUCUUUCUAGCUUCUGCUGCCCUCCAGGUAAGCACUCCACAGCCUGUAGAGCUCUGUGAGUAUAGUCUGUCCUUCCCAUAGUGAUUUGCCUUGGUGCAGUAAUUAACAGAAUGAGCUCCAAAGUUAAGGGUUCAAAUCUGGCUCUGACACUUGCAAUUAUGUCCCCUCUCUGAUUCCUCAUCUGCUAAUCCAUGGGGUUGCUGUGAGCACAUGGAAUACCUCAUGAUACUGCAAGGGGCCACUGCCAGGUGCCCUGAGAAUUACAAGCAGCUCUUGGUGCCUAAUCUGCUCCAUCUCUUAUUCUUCAUAUUCUUUGUAUGUCUUCCUCUGCCACUUACCAGAUGUUGACCUUGGGCAGAUUACUAAAUUUCCUAUGCUUUUCCCCAUUUAUGUAAGAAUAGCAAUGGUACCUACCUCAAAGGUACUAUAGAUGCUAUAGAUGGAACAUUGGUUUCCUCCUUAAAAUUUACAUGUUGAAAUCUUAACCCCUAAUGUGAGAGUAUUUGCAGGUGGGACCUUGAGAGGUGAUUAGUUCACGAGGGUGGAGCCCAUGUGAAUGGGAUUAAUGCCUUAGAAAAGAGAUCCUAGGGAGUCUUGUCCCUUCCACCCUCACCAGACACCGGUUCUGGUGAAGUGGUCCCGUCACCAGACACCAAUGCUGCCAGCACUUUGAUCUUGGACUUCCCAGCCUCUGGAACUGUGAGAAAUAAAUUUCUGUUGUUUAUAA